CAUCCUCAAACCUUCUUGGUUUCUUGACUGAGAAGGCUUUGGACUUUGGAGGCUUUUGCUGGACCUUCCGUUGUCGAAGCCAGCUCCUCUUAAACGAAUUAGUGGGGUUCACAUCGGUUUGAUCCUGGACGUGAUAAGAUGCUUCUACGUCUUGGGUUUUUCUCUGUCCCCCUGCUUCUAACUGUCUCAUAGGAGACUCUGUUCGGGCCACACCACCCUUCGUGGGUGGGAAGCCUGACCCACGAAA
rnacentral:misc_RNA from 1 species